UACGAAGGGUGCAAGCGUUACUCGGAAUUACUGGGCGUAAAGCGUGCGUAGGUGGUCUGUUAAGUCUGAUGUGAAAGCCCUGGGCUCAACCUGGGAAUUGCAUUGGAUACUGGCAGGCUAGAGUGCGGUAGAGGGUAGUGGAAUUCCCGGUGUAGCAGUGAAAUGCGUAGAGAUCGGGAGGAACACCAGUGGCGAAGGCGACUACCUGGACCAGCACUGACACUGAGGCACGAAAGCGUGGGGAGCAAACAGG
rnacentral:rRNA from 1 species